rnacentral:lncRNA from 1 species
GUUGCAGUAAGCCAAGAUCACGCCACUGCACUCCAGCCUGGACAACAGAGCAAGACUCCGUCUCAAAAAAAAAAAAAAAGUUUUCUUCAGAUUGUCAAAUUCUGACUUGAAACAGUUAUCAUAAGCUGAGCCUGGUGGUUCACACCUGUAAUCCCAGCACUUUGGGAGACUGAGGUGGGAGAAUCGCUUGGGUCCAGUAGCGAGACCUUGUCUCAAAAACAAAUCAAACAAACAAAACACAAAAACACAACCACAAAAAGCAAACAACACCCCCCUCCCACCCAAAGAAAAAGAAAUGGUAACUACCUGGACAAAACAUUUCACGUGCAUUGUUUUAGUAAACAGACACAACCUUGGCUUCAGGUCUUUUUUGUUUUCUGUCACCCAGGCGGAGUUUGCAGUGAGCUGACAUCGCAUCACUGCACUCCAGCCUGGGUGACAGAGCAAUACUCCAUCUCGAAGAAAAAGAAAAAAAAAAAAAAUACAUGCACAGAAAAAAAGUUCAAUCAGUGCAUAAGGACAUAUGCAACAAGUCUCCCUCCUACUGUUUCUCCUGAUCUGCAGGUCCCCUCCCUAAUGGCAAUCACUGUUACAGUGUAACAGAGAUUCUGACAUAAUCUUAUUGUAUGUAUUUCCUUCACCCCCACGCAUGGAAACAGUAACUCCCUCCACACACUACCUCAUGCUUAUAUCAUUAACAGUGUAACUCUUGGAGAUUGUUGCACACCCACCAAAAGAGAACUGCCUUAUUCUGUUUGUUUGUUUGUUUGUUUUGAGACGGAGUCUCUGUCGCUCAGGCUGGAGUGCAGUGGCACGAUCUCGGCUCACUGCAACCUACGCCUCCCAGGUUCAAGCAAUUCUCCUGCCUCAGGCUCCCGAGCAGCUGGCAUUACAGGCAUGCACCACCAUGCCCAGCUAAUUCUUUUGUAUUUUUAGUAGAGACUGGGUUUCAC